GACGAACGCUGGCGGCGUGCCUAAUACAUGCAAGUAGAACGCUGAAGGAGGAGCUUGCUCUUCUGGAUGAGUUGCGAACGGGUGAGUAACGCGUAGGUAACCUGCCUGGUAGCGGGGGAUAACUAUUGGAAACGAUAGCUAAUACCGCAUAAGAGUAGAUGUUGCAUGACAUUUACUUAAAAGGUGCAAUUGCAUCACUACCAGAUGGACCUGCGUUGUAUUAGCUAGUUGGUGGGGUAACGGCUUACCAAGGCGACGAUACAUAGCCGACCUGAGAGGGUGAUCGGCCACACUGGGACUGGGACACGGCCCAGACUCCUACGGGGGGCAGCAGUAGGGAAUCUUCGGCAAUGGACGGAAGUCUGACCGAGCAACGCCGCGUGAGUGAAGAAGGUUUUCGGAUCGUAAAGCUCUGUUGUAAGAGAAGAACGAGUGUGGGAGUGGAAAGUUCACACUGUGACGGUAUCUUACCAGAAAGGGACGGCUAACUACGUG
rnacentral:rRNA from 1 species